UGCCCAGCGUGCUCGAGGCCUUGGCCAGCGGCUGCACUGACAUUGCGGUGUGCGCAGCGCCGGUGCCGUCCGACGAUGUGCAU
rnacentral:tRNA from 1 species